UACGAAGGGUGCAAACGUUGCUCGGAAUUAUUGGGCGUAAAGCGCACGUAGGCGGCUAGGUCCGUCCGAUGUGAAAGCCCCCGGCUCAACCCGGGGAAUUGCAUCGGAUACAGCCUGGCUUGAGGACGGUUGGGGUGAGUGGAACUCCUGGUGGAGCGGUGAAAUGCGUAGAUAUCAGGAGGAACACCGGUGGCGAAAGCGGCUCACUGGACCGUUACUGACGCUGAGGUGCGAAAGCUAGGGGAGCAAACGGG
rnacentral:rRNA from 1 species